AAAUAAAUCCAAUGCUUCCUGGAUUGCUGUGGAAUGUAUUUUGGCAUUUAAGUCUUCAAUCCUGACCUGUAACCGCUUAUAUGGAUGUAAGCCACACUGAACUCAUAGGGACUUGCUUCUGAGUAGAUGUGUAUAGGAUUGUACUGCUGAUAUUCCUUUUUUUACCUGAGCAAUCUUCUCUCCAUGACCUAUAUACAGUGUAGUACUUCUAGCAUUCUGUCAGCUAAAUUAAAGCUAAGGAAGCCACGUACAAGCUCAGAACAGCCUUUCUUCUUCCGAAGAUAUUAAUAGCUCAGGCUACAGGGAAUGACAAAGACUAGGAAACAAAGUUCAUUUUCUCCCAGCACAUCAAGAGACCUCUUUAAAAUGAAACACAAAAUCUCUUUUUAAAACCACAAUUUUGAUAUGAUAUUUGAAAGGAAAUUAUAACUAAAAGAGGGCCAAGCAGUGGAAGACAUGAAAGUCAUUCUGGAGUACUUCCACUGUAUCAGAAUAGAAGAGAUGCAAAUCGAGUCUUCUAAUAUAAAAUACAAAAAUCUGCACAUCAAGGUAAGGGCUGGUGUAUAUAUGAUUCUUGGGGGGGAAAUAAUGUUUUCCUUCUCCUGCUGAACCUAGAUUCUGUUUAACAUUUAAAAAAUACAAAACAUUUCUUGGACAAUGGAAAACCAACAUAUCUAUAUUUAUGACACUUGAAAAUUAAGACUUAUAUAACAAAUACAAUAUUUCCUUAAUGUAGACUUUAAAGUAGCCUCAAGAUAUAGGGGUAGAUUUUAAUAGAUAUUCCCAACUCAAGAAUAGAAAACAGAAUGUAGGUGGAAAUGAAAAGAGAUUUAAAGGUGGGCUUAAACCCAAUCUUAAAAGCUGUGGCAAAGAUGCUUAGAACUGGAAGCUUUGGCCCUUGAGCAUUCUAACUGAUGGUCAGCUGUUACCAACAGUGCUGUGGAAUUCGAAGAGGAACAAAUGGAGGGUGAAAGGGAGAAACACAUCAAGAGGAAGCCAACUGUUUCUAUCGGCUCCACCUAACAUGGUCGAUGAUAAGGGAUUAUGGAGGUUGCAGUUCAUUCAUAUAGGCUAUGUGUAUAAGGAACCCUUCUUUGUUCUUUUCACCAUACUGAAAUUCUCUGAGGGGUGGAUCAAUAAAUGGAUGCAAGCUUCAUAUCACAGCUUAUUAAAGUUUCCCACCAAAGCAGCGACCAGCCAGUGAUGACAUCAGACAAAGCCCUGGACCAACCAGGGAACAGAUCCUAGAUGGACACUUUCUGAACCAAUCAGGAGCUGGUGCGGGAGUCUUGAAGCUGUCAAAAUGUAGUAAAUAUGCUAUGUGUUCUCAAUUACAAUAUGUCAACUCUCUCCACUGACAGCCUCUCUGAUCAUUGAGA